CGGCACCUUCGUUCUCCUCGAACCCUAGCCCGUCCGUGCACGCCGCCGCCCCAAUCCCCGCCGCCGCCACCUACUACGCUCGCCGCCGGCGCCGGAUCUCCGCAGGCCGUUGCUCCCCCGCCGCUCCCUGCAGUCCGCCGGCCCCGUGCGCCGCCGGCCGCCGCUCCCUGCAGUCCGCCGGCCACCCAACCCGGCGCGCAGCGCCCCUCCACCGGCCACACGCGCGACCGCUGGCCAGUGCCGCCUGCGCGCGUCCGUCAACGUUUGCUCGCUCGUGGUGGCGGCGCCAUCCCGACGUGCCGCCGUCGAAGAAGACGGCAUUUUUUUUUUGGAAUGUCGGAACUUUCGUUUGAAGAAUGUUGAGUUCACUGUUUAAAGAUGUUGAAAUAGGUAGUACAAAAUGUUGAAUAUGGAUUUUUUUUUUCAAAAUGUUGAUGUAUGUCUCAGAAAAUGUUGAAUCUGAUAUUUCUUUAUGCUGGAUUAACUUUUUGAAAUUGUUGAAUCUAAUACUCCUAUGUUGAUAUAUUUAUUUAGAUUUCAAAUUGGG
rnacentral:lncRNA from 1 species